rnacentral:rRNA from 1 species
CCUACGGGUGGCAGCAGUGGGGAAUAUUGGACAAUGGGCGAAAGCCUGAUCCAGCCAUGCCGCGUGUGUGAAGAAGGCCUUCGGGUUGUAAAGCACUUUCAGUGGGGAAGAAAGCCUUGGGGCUAAUACCCUCGAGGAAGGACAUCGCCCACAGAAGAAGCACCGGCUAACUCCGUGCCAGCAGCCGCGGUAAUACGGAGGGUGCGAGCGUUAAUCGGAAUUACUGGGCGUAAAGCGCGCGUAGGCGGUCUGAUAAGCCGGUUGUGAAAGCCCCGGGCUCAACCUGGGAACGGCAUCCGGAACUGUCAGGCUAGAGUGCAGGAGAGGAAGGUAGAAUUCCCGGUGUAGCGGUGAAAUGCGUAGAGAUCGGGAGGAAUACCAGUGGCGAAGGCGGCCUUCUGGACUGACACUGACGCUGAGGUGCGAAAGCGUGGGUAGCAAACAGGAUUAGAUACCCGUGUAGUC